rnacentral:rRNA from 1 species
AGUGAACGCUGGCGGUAGGCCUAACACAUGCAAGUCGAACGGCAGCACAGUAAGAGCUUGCUCUUACGGGUGGCGAGUGGCGGACGGGUGAGGAAUACAUCGGAAUCUACUUUUUCGUGGGGGAUAACGUAGGGAAACUUACGCUAAUACCGCAUACGACCUACGGGUGAAAGCAGGGGAUCUUCGGACCUUGCGCGAUUGAAUGAGCCGAUGUCGGAUUAGCUAGUUGGCGGGGUAAAGGCCCACCAAGGCGACGAUCCGUAGCUGGUCUGAGAGGAUGAUCAGCCACACUGGAACUGAGACACGGUCCAGACUCCUACGGGAGGCAGCAGUGGGGAAUAUUGGACCAUGGGCGCAAGCCUGAUCCAGCCAUACCGCGUGGGUGAAGAAGGCCUUCGGGUUGUAAAGCCCUUUUGUUGGGAAAGAAAAGCAGCAGGUUAAUACCCCGCUGUUCCGACGGUACCCAAAGAAUAAGCACCGGCUAACUUCGUG